AUUGAACGCUGGCGGCAGGCCUAACACAUGCAAGUCGAACGGUAACAGGAAGCAGCUUGCUGCUUCGCUGACGAGUGGCGGACGGGUGAGUAAUGUCUGGGAAGCUGCCUGAUGGAGGGGGAUAACUACUGGAAACGGUAGCUAAUACCGCAUAAUGUCGCAAGACCAAAGAGGGGGACCUUCGGGCCUCUUGCCAUCGGAUGUGCCCAGAUGGGAUUAGCUUGUUGGUGGGGUAACGGCUCACCAAGGCGACGAUCCCUAGCUGGUCUGAGAGGAUGACCAGCCACACUGGAACUGAGACACGGUCCAGACUCCUACGGGAGGCAGCAGUGGGGAAUAUUGCACAAUGGGCGCAAGCCUGAUGCAGCCAUGCCGCGUGUAUGAAGAAGGCCUUCGGGUUGUAAAGUACUUUCAGCGGGGAGGAAGGGAGUAAAGUUCAUACCUUUGCUCAUUGACGUUACCCGCAGAAGAAGCACCGGCUAACUCCG
rnacentral:rRNA from 1 species